GGCAAUGUGGCGGAGUGGUUAACGCGCUGCCCUGCUAUCUCCGAUUCAUCGGGUUGUAAGGCAGUUCCUUCGGGAGCGUAGGUUCGAAUCCUGCCAUUGUCG